UACGUAGGGUGCGAGCGUUGUCCGGAAUUAUUGGGCGUAAAGAGCUCGUAGGCGGUGUGUCGCGUCGGCCGUGAAAACCUGGGGCUCAACUCUGGGCGUGCGGUCGAUACGGGCAUCACUUGAGUUCGGCAGGGGAGACUGGAAUUCCUGGUGUAGCGGUGAAAUGCGCAGAUAUUAGGAAGAACACCAGUGGCGAAGGCGGCUCACUGGUCCGGAACUGGACGACUG
rnacentral:rRNA from 1 species